rnacentral:rRNA from 1 species
GACGAACGCGGGCGGCGUGCUUAAUACAUGCAAGUGGAACGCAUUGGUAACCCGGACUUGCUCCAGUGUUACUAUUGAGUCGCGAACGGGUGAGUAACGCGUAGGUAACCUGCCUGAUAGCGGGGGAUAACUAUGGGAAACGAUAGCUAAUACCGCAUAAGAGGAGUUAACUCAUGUUAACUGUUUAAAAGAAGCAAUGGCUUCACUAUCAGAUGGACCCGCGUUGUAUUAGCUAGUAGGUAGGGUAACGGCCUACCUAGGCAACGAUACAUAGCCGACCUGAGAGGGUGAUCGGCCACACUGGGACUGAGACACGGCCCAGACUCCUACGGGAGGCAGCAGUAGGGAAUCUUCGGCAAUGGACGCAAGUCUGACCGAGCAACGCCGCGUGAGUGAAGACGGUUUUCGGAUCGUAAAGCUCUGUUGUAGGGGAAGAACGUGUGUAAGAGUGGAAAGCUUACACAGUGACGGACCCUACCAGAAAGGACGCA